AUGUAAUGCAUUCGGGUUUCCCUAAUCCCCUCUUUCUAAUUUAUCAUCAACAAAAAAAAACCCUAGCUCAAAAAAAUUGAGCUGAAUCUUCUUCGGUUCAUCCAUGGAGAAUUCUCGUUCCUGCAAGAGUUGUCAAAAGCAUACAAUCGGUUCAGAUGACACAACAGGUAAUCCCGUUUGCUUAUCAUGUGGAACUUUACAAGAUUACGAUAAUUACGAUGCCCAAAUCGGUGGAAUUAGUGGUCCAACCGGAACACAAGUCCGCACCGGCACCGCCGGUAGCGGAACAGUUUAUAACUACAACGAAACAAAAAUUUACAAUGCCCAGAAAGAAAUCGAAGAUUUAAUGUACCAAUUAGGAUUUUCGAGCUUGAAAUCUAGUGAAGUUAAGGAUAUGGUAGUGAAAGUUACUGACGGAGAAUACGGGCAGGGUAGAUGGUUUACAGUAUUAAUAGGUGCUUGUGCUUGUAUUGUAAUGAGGAUAGACGGGAAGCCGUUGGCUAUUGUUACGGUAGCGAAUAUAGUUUGUUGUGAUAUUUAUGAAUUGGGUAGGAUGAUUUAUCGGGUUGUUGAUUUUCUUGAUUUGAAGUUGCCUGAAUUCGAUAUUGUUGAUUCGUUCGAGCAUUAUAUUAGGAAUGCUCCGAGUUUUAGUGAGGUUUCUGAGGAUUUGAUUGGGAGGAUGUUGAAACAGGGUGUUUUUUUGGUGCAGUGCUUGGUGAAGUGGUAUGUGACGACGGGAAGGAGACCGUUGCCUGUUGUGGCAGCAGUGUUGGUGUUUGUUGCAAAGUUGAAUCAAGUUGAUGUGGUGAUUGAGGAUGUGGCGAAUGAGUUGCAAGUGGCAGUUGUUACUUGUAGGUUGAGGUAUAAGGAGUUGUUGGAAAGGCUUGUGAAGGUUGCUCGAGGUUUGCCUUGGGGUGAGGAUGUUACGGUUAAGAAUAUUAUGAAGCAUGCGACUUUUGUUAUUCAAUACAUGGAGUUAAAGUCAAUGUCGAAGAAUAGAAAUAAAAAUAAGAAUUUUGAGGAUGUUGGGUUUGAUCUGGAUUAUUUGAUCGAUGAUUGUUUGAGCAACGGAAAUGACUAUGCUUUAGAUGCCGAUGACACCGUAAAUGACUCGCAGUACUUUAUGAUGGAUCACUCUAAAAGGUUGAGUAUUGAAGGUCCAAAUAGAUUCCAAAUUUCCCAAGAGUGUUUAGCAAUGAUUUAUUCAAAGAUGAAGGAUGAAAUGCAUGUACACGAGUCGACACAUAGCAGAGAUAAUAGCAUCAGGAAAAGGAAGAGAGGAUAUGGCAUGCUUUCAUACACAGAUUGGUGGAAGGGCGAAUCAGAAAUGAGCAAAAAGCUUUUAGUGAAGCAAAUAGUGGAGAAAGAUGUGGGCUUAAGUGUUAUGCCUCCUUCUUUUGAUAGUGGUUGCUUGUCAUAUGAAAGGAGAAAAGAGAAGAUAAAAGCUGCAAAGUAUCGAAUCCAUAAGACAAUGUAUCCUUCGGAUGCUAGUUCAAUUGAUACGAUUGAUGUAGGCUCCCUCGAACACGUAAAUGCUGGAAAGAGAAGGAAAAGGAAAAUGAAAUUUGAUGUUGAUUGGGAGGAUUUCAUUAUUGAAACCCUUCUGCUUCAUCAGGUGGAAGAAGUGGAGAUAGAAAAGGGAUAUUACAAGACCCUGAUGGACUUGCAUGUUUUCAACUAUUGAAGAUCUAACCGGUCAGCUCAAACCAUUAUGUCAGUUUAUGUAAAACUAUUGCAGAGAAAAUUUUGUUAUGUUUCGUUGACCGAUCUUGCUAGAGUAUAGGGUAACUUUUGUUAAUAUUUUUAAUCUGUAGAUUUGCGUGAGUUCCAUACUGGUGGAAUUUAAACAUAUAUACUCUGUUUCUUUGGGUCCUAUCUUGAACCUGUAACAACUGUCUUUUUAUUUAUUUUUCUAAGAUGAGAAGUUCCGUUUUUCCCAGUACAUUUUCAUUUUUUAGUCAUAGUGAGAAGUUCUCUCUUGUAAACUAUCUUGAUCUUAGCCCCAAGGCCUAGCUCGAGUGGAAAAAGGUGGAGGAUUUGUGGCUUAGCUUGCAGGUUUCAAGCCCCACGCUAUGCAAAGUGAAGCUCAGUAUUUAGUGGUGAAGGGUAGAGGGGCGGGCCCAUCAUCCACAGUGUUUAGAAGGCUGUGAUUGGUUAAAAGGGUGGGUCAUAGAUAGAUUUCUCGGAGCUUAGGACUCAAUUUUCUUUUUGAUAGGUAGUCAUUUUUUUAAGUUUUUAUGCAACACCUUUUCAUGCUGAAUACUAUGGUGAUUUGAGGGUCCAUAGAUGGUAAACAAUGACAUUUUUAUGUCUAGUUGAAAGGGUUUAUUUGUAGAACAGUUAUUUGUCCAUCUUCACCGAUUAGGAUCAUUACUUUUCUUACCAAAGGGGAACUCAGAGUGUCAAGAUUGCAGGGAAUUAUAAUUUCAGGAAAUCAAACACUUUUUUAGGCAGCAGCUCUUCUGAUAAUUUGACGCAGUCUUUAUUGGACAUUUAUUUAAAGAAGUAAGAGACGAGAUGUGUAUGUUUGAUUAACAAAAUGAAGCAAAUGCUGAACAAUUCAUUAAUAAAUGCUGAAUGGUUAAUGGUUAUACAUCGAAUCCUAGUUCAUGUAGACAGAAACUUCCUGCCAGCAUUUGCAGCAUUGAAUAAAUCUCUUUAUUUUCAAAAGAAAAAGUUCUUUAUAUCUUCAAAGUGACUGAGGUAUUUAUAGUUGUAGAAUCGUUCACUUUGGGUAGAGGACAGAGUCCCCUGGAGAUCCCAGAAAGUAAUGCAGUUCAGUGCACGAAACAUCCCGUGUUAGUAGGGUCUGGGAAGGGCCACACCCAAAGGGUUUUGAUGUAGACCUAAUGCAAACAUUAGUGGCUUCAGGGUCUGGGAAGGGCCACACCCAAAGGGUUGUGAUGUAGACCUAGUGCAAACAUUAGUGGCUGCUUCCACAUCUCGAACUCGUGACCUAGAGAUCACAUGGAUGCAACUUUAUGGUUGCUCCAAGGCUCCCAUUCCAGAAAUUUAUGCAAGAUACGGACAAGUAAAGCUCUCUAGCUGUUCCACUAACAGACUUCAUAUUAUUUUCACUCUUGCUUCUGUUGAGCUUCCACAAUUUUGUACACGAGUGCAUAUAAUUAGCUUUUAUCAUAUCUCAAAAUUGUUCGGUCUAUUUAGUUGACUUUAGUCUUUAGCAGUCAUUCUCCUGCCUUUAAGACAAAAGAAGGAUCUGCAGUGAUCAAUACCAAUUCAUUUUUAGUUGAUAUUCCCGAUAUCCUUUGGUGUGGGGGAUGGGGAUGAGUGGUAUGUUCUUGGUUUAGUCUUAUUUUGAGAAACUUUUGGUUAGGAAGAGGAAGUUUUGAUGCAGUUUACAUUUCCAAAGUGCCGAUGAAGGUGUGCUUUUUCACUUGGCUGGCUACUAGAGGGGUGAUCCUGGCAAUGGAAAAUCAUAGACGGCAGAAGGUUGUCUGCAUGAGCUGGUGUUAUUUGUGCAUGGAGGCGGGAGAGGAUGUAGUUGCGUAGUUCUUUCAUUGUGGUCUUUCCAUGAGUUAUGGUGGGAUAUGUUUCAAAUAAUGUGGUACUUGGGCUAUGCAAAGAAUUGAUGUUCAGUUCAAAGUGUGGAAUUAAGGAGGAGAAGAUGCGGUAUUAAAGUGGGUGGUGUAGAGAGAGAGAGAGAAAUAUAGGACCUUUUGAAGGGGUAGAGUCAAGCUUUUCUCUAUUGAAAAGUAACCUUUGAUCCCCUUUUUCUUUAGAGUUCCAAGUUGUAUAGAAGAUCGGGUGGAUUUAUAGAGAAUCAUAUUUUGUUAUAGAUUCAUUACCUUUUGGUACAUUCCUUGUAUGUGACCAGGCCUUAUACUAUAUGUAUGAAUGAAUAUACCUUCACUUGAUAAAAGUAAAAUCAAGAUUAACCGAGAUGAAGUUUUCUGCUAAUUUACAGAAGCUUCGUGCACAAUGAUGACAUUUUCAGCAAAUUUGAGGUAAGGUUCGCAUUCAAAUUGCAAUAAGUUUGGUUUUUCCGUAGCAUUAAAUUAAUUUGACAACUGCAGGAUGCAUUGACAGGAUGGACGAAAAGAAUACCUCUUCCUCUUUGUAUUGUACUUGUUUUUAUUUAGAAUUCGUGUCACUUCUGUUCUACGUUGUGAUUUUCAGCUUAAGGGGCAGAAGCAAAUGUUAUUUACUGAUGAUUGUGAACAAACCUCCCAAGCUCGGGGUAAGGUUCAAGCGUAGGAAGAAAUCAAAACAAGUGCAGACAAAGACAUAUAAAUCUGAAGAUACGCAUUCUCCCGUUACUGUCCAGCUGCAAAAGCCUCAACCGGAAAAGUUUUCGUGAUGCCAGCAAGACUCUUGAAGUGAAUCUUGCCAGUAGGAGGGUUGUCCACUGAGAUGUCACCAACUGGAGGCCAUAACAUCAGUUCCUUAGCCUUCACUCCCUUGAGCUUCUUGAUCCUGUUCUUCUCGACGUAUCCAGUUAUUUCAGCACCAUAACUCACCAGCUUACUGAUCAUCUUAAAGUUAUGUUCAACUUUUUUAGUUUGCAGGAUCCACAUGUACCCCGUGGUCUUCACAAACCCGACUUCGAUCACAUCAGCCAGAGGGAGAAGCCCUGCUGGGAGUUGAUAUUCUUCAAGAAGGGAAAGGGCCAUUUUUAAGCCUUCCUCAUGACCCUUCUUGACAAUUGCUCCUUCCUUUUCUGCCAUGUUUAGCCUCACUUUUAAUGACUUUUUGUUGCUGUUAUGCUUAUCUGAUUGAGGGAACUGAAUUUAUAGUAUGGUUUUUGCAUGUAAAGAGACAAAACUCAAUGGAGAAUACAAAGAAAUCAACAUUGUAUUAGCCACCAAAGCUACUGAUUUUACUUUGUACCAGUCAUCAUUUUUUUUG